CUCGUAGGUGGCCAACUAAGUCAGACGUGAAAUCCCUCGGCUUAACCGGGGAACUGCGUCUGAUACUGGAUGGCUUGAGUUUGGGAGAGGGACGCGGAAUUCCAGGUGUAGCGGUGAAAUGCGUAGAUAUCUGGAGGAACACCGGUGGCGAAGGCGGCGUCCUGGACCAAUACUGACACUGAGGAGCGAAAGCCAGGGGGAGCAAACG
rnacentral:rRNA from 1 species